AGGGCAUAAGGUGGAUGCCUUGGCAUCAGCAGCCGAAGAAAGGCGUGGCAAGACUGCGAAAAGCCUCAGGGAGCUGUCUAGCUAGCUUAUCUGGGGAUUCCUGAAUGGGGCAACCCGCCCCGAUGAAGAUCGGGGCAUUUCGAUUAUAUCGAAAGGGGAACCGGGUGAACUGAAACAUCUUAGUAACCCGAGGAAAAGAAAUCAACCGAGAUUCCCUUAGUAGUGGCGAACGAACGGGGAAGAGCCCAAACCAGAGUAGCUCAGUGGGCUUGGAUCCUAAGCUAUUCUGGGGUUGCAAGGCACAGGGGGCAGAUUCCAAGGUCUGCCACAGAGUGAUAAAACUUUUCCUUAGCUGAAUGCUUCUGGAAAGGGCAACCGCAGAAGGUGAGAGUCCUGUAGGCGAAAAGGAAAAGUCUCUGCCUGUGUUCUUGAGUACCACGGGACACGUGGAAUCCUGUGGGAAGCUGGGGGGACCAUCCUCCAAGGCUAAAUACUGCUGAUGACCGAUAGUGAACCAGUACCGUGAGGGAAAGGUGAAAAGCACCCCGGGAGGGGAGUGAAAUAGAACCUGAAACCUUAUGCUUACAAGCAGUCAGAGUCCUGAUUUUAUCGGGAUGAUGGCGUGCCUAUUGAAGAAUGAGCCGACGAGUUGAUCUAUGUGGCUAGGUUAAGCGACUUUAGUCGUGGAGCCGUAGCGAAAGCGAGUCCGAACAGGGCGUGCCCGACUCUAUCGGGCAGGUCGCAUAGAUCAGACCCGAAACCGGGUGAUCUACCCAUGGUCAGAGCGAAGCUCAAGUAAAAUUGAGUGGAGGCUCGAACUUGUGAGUCAGGCGAAACUCUGAGAUGAACUGUGGGUAGUGCAGGUGAAAUGCCAAACGAACCCGGAAAUAGCUGGUUCUCCCCGAAAUGUAUUUAGGUACAGCCUCAGGAAGUAAUCUACGGAGGUAGAGCUCUGGAUGAGCCAGGGGCCGUGAGGUUACCGAACUCAACCAAACUGCGAAUGCCGUAGGUGUAAUCCUGGGAGUGAGACUGUGGGGGCUAAGCUUCAUAGUCGAGAGGGGAUCAGCCCAGACCAUCAGCUAAGGUCCCUAAAUGCAGGCUAAGUGGGCAAGGAGGUGGUGCCGCACAAACAGCCAGGAGGUUGGCUUAGAAGCAGCCAUCCUUUAAAGAGUGCGUAACAGCUCACUGGUCGAGUGGUACCGCGCCGACAAUUUAACGGGGCUCAAGCCUGCUACCGAAGCUAUGGCUCCGAUAACCUCGGAGGGUAGGGGAGCGUUGUCAUGGCUGUGAAGCUCCGAUGUGAAUCGGGGUGGAGCAAUGACAAGUGAGAAUGUCGGUAUGAGUAGCGCGAAGGCAUGUGAAAAUCAUGCCCACCGUAAACCUAAGGUUUCCUACGCAACGUUUAUCGGCGUAGGGUUAGUCAGACCUAAGCUGAACCCUAAUGGGGUAGGCGAUGGACAGUAGGUUAAUAUUCCUACACCGCUCGGCUUUUGUUACGGCAAAGGGGGGACACAGGAAGGUAGGUUGAGCAUGCCUAUUGGACAUGGUGUGUUCCCAACUCAAGGCGUACCAGAGCAGGCAAAUCCACUCUGGUGUUAAGCUGAGGGGAGGGAGAAUCUGAGGGGAAACCCGAGGAAACUCAACUGAGUCUACGCUGGCGAGAAAAGCCUCGUUGCUAAAAAGCCGAGCGCCUGUACCGCAAACCGCCACUGGUAGGUGGGGAUAAAAGUCCCAAGGUGUUCGAGAUAACCCUCGUUAAGGAACUCGGCAAUCUAACCCCGUAACUUCGGGAGAAGGGGGCCCCGAUUAUAUCGGGGGGCACGAAAUCGGCCCAGGCGACUGUUUAACAAAAACACAGGUCUCUGCUAAAGCGAAAAAGCUGAAGUAUAGAGGCUGAUACCUGCCCGGUGCCAGAAGGUUAAGGGGAGAGGUUAUUCCGAUUUAUCGGGAGAAGCCUUGAGCCGAAGCCCUGGUGAACGGCGGCCGUAACUAUAACGGUCCUAAGGUAGCGAAGUCCCUUGUCGGGUAAGUUCCGACCCGCACGAAAGGUGUAACGACUUGGGCGCUGUCUCAACGAGGGGCUCGGUGAAAUUGAACUGGGGGUGAAGAUGCCCUCUACCCGCGACAGGACAAAAAGACCCUAGCAGCUUUACUAUAGCCUGGCACUGAGCUUAGACUAGGCAUGUGUAGGAUAGGUGGGAGGCUGAGAAGCUCCGACGCCAGUCGGAGUGGAGCCAACGGUGAAAUACCACUCUUGUCUGGUUUUGGUUCUAACCCCGAGGAAUCGGGGGACAAUGUCAGGUGGGUAGUUUGACUGGGGCGGUUGCCUCCUAAAAGGUAACGGAGGCGUCCAAAGGUUCCCUCAGCACGAAUGGAAACCGUGCGCAGAGUGCAUUGGCAUAAGGGAGCUUGACUGCGAGGCACACAAGCCGAGCAGGGACGAAAGUCGGGCAAAGUGAUCCUACGGUUCCGUAUGGAAGGGCCGUGGCUUAUCGGAUAAAAGCUACGCUAGGGAUAACAGGCUUAUCUUGCCCAAGAGUUCACAUCGACGGCAAGGUUUGGCACCUCGAUGUCGGCUCGUCGCAUCCUGGGGCUGGAGAAGGUCCCAAGGGUCGGGCUGUUCGCCCGUUAAAGCGGCACGCGAGCUGGGUUCAGACCGUCGUGAGACAGGUCGGUCUCUAUCCGUCGUGGGCGCCGGAGAUUUGAGGGGAGCUCUCCUUAGUACGAGAGGAUUAGGAGGGACAGACCGCUGGUGUGCCAGUUGUUCCGCCAGGAGCAACGCUGGGUAGCUAUGUCUGGUCGGGAUAAGCGCUGAAAGCAUCUAAGUGCGAAGCCCACCCCAAGAUGAGAUCUCCCACCUGACUUCGGUCGGGGUAAGGCCGCAGGUAGACUACCUGCUUGAUAGGCGGCAUGUGUAAGCGGAGCAAUCCGUUUAGCUAAGCCGUACUAAUGGCCGAGGCCUUGACC
rnacentral:rRNA from 1 species